UACGAGGGGGGCAAGCGUUGUUCGGAAUUAUUGGGCGUAAAGGGCGCGUAGGCGGUUUCUUAAGUUUGAAGUGACAGUGGGUGGCUUAACUACCCAAGGCCUUUGAAAACUGGGGAACUUGAGGACCAGAGAGGGACAUAGAAUUCCGGGUGGAGUGGUGAAAUGCGUAGAUAUCCGGAGGAAUACCAAAGGCGAAGGCAGUGUCCUGGAGGGUGACUGACGCUGAGGCGCGAAAGCUAGGGGAGCGAACAGG
rnacentral:rRNA from 1 species